rfam:Lepisosteus oculatus linkage group LG11, whole genome shotgun sequence.
ACCAGCAGCCUUAUCACUCUGCAACUCACAACUGGCAACCCACUGAAGCUAAGCAGGUGUGAGCCUGGUCAGUACCUGCAUGGGAGACCUCCUGGGAAAAACUAAGGUUGCUUCUGGAA